GAUGAACGCUGGCGGCGUGCCUAAUACAUGCAAGUCGAGCGAACAGACGAGGAGCUUGCUCCUCUGAUGUUAGCGGCGGACGGGUGAGUAACACGUGGAUAACCUACCUAUAAGACUGGGAUAACUUCGGGAAACCGGAGCUAAUACCGGAUAACAUGAUGAACCGCAUGGUUCAACAGUGAAAGACGGUCUUGCUGUCACUUAUAGAUGGAUCCGCGCCGCAUUAGCUAGUUGGUAAGGUAACGGCUUACCAAGGCAACGAUGCGUAGCCGACCUGAGAGGGUGAUCGGCCACACUGGAACUGAGACACGGUCCAGACUCCUACGGGAGGCAGCAGUAGGGAAUCUUCCGCAAUGGGCGAAAGCCUGACGGAGCAACGCCGCGUGAGUGAAGAAGGUCUUCGGAUCGUAAAACUCUGUUAUUAGGGAAGAACAAAUGUGUAAGUAACUAUGCACGUCUUGACGGUACCUAAUCAGAAAGCCACGGCUAACUACGUG
rnacentral:rRNA from 1 species